rnacentral:rRNA from 1 species
GUUGUAUGGUUAAGUGACUAAGCGUACACGGUGGAUGCCUGGGCAGUCAGAGGCGAUGAAGGACGUACUAACUUGCGAUAAGCGCAGAUAAGGCAGUAAGAGCCGUUUGAGUCUGCGAUUUCCGAAUGGGGAAACCCAACUGCAUAAGCAGUUACUGUUAACUGAAUACAUAGGUUAACAGAGCAAACCGGGGGAACUGAAACAUCUAAGUACCCCGAGGAGAAGAAAUCAACCGAGAUUCCGGUAGUAGCGGCGAGCGAACCUGGAUUAGCCCUUAAGCGCUCGGUGAAGUAGGUGAACAAGCUGGAAAGCUUGGCGAUACAGGGUGAUAGCCCCGUAACCGACGCUUCAUCGAGCGUGAAAUCGAGUAGGGCGGGACACGUGAUAUCCUGUCUGAAUAUGGGGGGACCAUCCUCCAAGGCUAAAUACUCCUGACUGACCGAUAGUGAACCAGUACCGUGAGGGAAAGGCGAAAAGAACCCCUGUGAGGGGAGUGAAAUAGAACCUGAAACCGUGUACGUACAAGCAGUAGGAGCACCUUCGUGGUGUGACUGCGUACCUUUUGUAUAAUGGGUCAGCGACUUAUAUUCAGUGGCAAGGUUAACCGUAUAGGGGAGCCGUAGCGAAAGCGAGUCUUAACUGGGCGCUCAGUCUCUGGAUAUAGACCCGAAACCGGGUGAUCUAGCCAUGGGCAGGUUGAAGGUUGAGUAACAUCAACUGGAGGACCGAACCGACUAAUGUUGAAAAAUUAGCGGAUGACUUGUGGCUAGGGGUGAAAGGCCAAUCAAACUCGGAGAUAGCUGGUUCUCCCCGAAAGCUAUUUAGGUAGCGCCUCGGACGAAUACUACUGGGGGUAGAGCACUGUUAAGGCUAGGGGGUCAUCCCGACUUACCAACCCUUUGCAAACUCCGAAUACCAGUAAGUACUAUCCGGGAGACACACGGCGGGUGCUAACGUCCGUCGUGGAGAGGGAAACAACCCAGACCGCCAGCUAAGGUCCCAAAGUAUUGCUAAGUGGGAAACGAUGUGGGAAGGCUCAGACAGCUAGGAUGUUGGCUUAGAAGCAGCCAUCAUUUAAAGAAAGCGUAAUAGCUCACUAGUCGAGUCGGCCUGCGCGGAAGAUGUAACGGGGCUAAGCAAUACACCGAAGCUGCGGCAAUGAAGUUUACUUCAUUGGGUAGGGGAGCGUUCUGUAAGCCGUUGAAGGUGAAUCGUAAGGUUUGCUGGAGGUAUCAGAAGUGCGAAUGCUGACAUGAGUAACGACAAGGGGGGUGAAAAACCUCCCCGCCGGAAGACCAAGGGUUCCUGUCCAACGUUAAUCGGGGCAGGGUGAGUCGACCCCUAAGGCGAGGCCGAAAGGCGUAGUCGAUGGGAAACGGGUUAAUAUUCCCGUACUCAAUCAAAUUGCGAUGGGGGGACGGAGAAGGCUAGGUGGGCCAGGCGACGGUUGUCCUGGUUCAAGUGCGUAGGCUUAAGAGUUAGGUAAAUCCGGCUCUUUCUAAGGCUGAGACACGACGUCGAGCACCUACGGGUGUGAAGUCAUUGAUGCCAUGCUUCCAGGAAAAGCCUCUAAGCUUCAGAUUUGAUGGAAUCGUACCCCAAACCGACACAGGUGGUCGGGUAGAGAAUACCAAGGCGCUUGAGAGAACUCGGGUGAAGGAACUAGGCAAAAUGGUACCGUAACUUCGGGAGAAGGUACGCUCUUGAUGGUGAAGUCCCUCGCGGAUGGAGCUGACGAGAGUCGCAGAUACCAGGUGGCUGCAACUGUUUAUUAAAAACACAGCACUGUGCAAAAUCGCAAGAUGACGUAUACGGUGUGACGCCUGCCCGGUGCCGGAAGGUUAAUUGAUGGGGUUAGCGUAAGCGAAGCUCUUGAUCGAAGCCCCGGUAAACGGCGGCCGUAACUAUAACGGUCCUAAGGUAGCGAAAUUCCUUGUCGGGUAAGUUCCGACCUGCACGAAUGGCGUAAUGAUGGCCACGCUGUCUCCACCCGAGACUCAGUGAAAUUGAAAUCGCUGUGAAGAUGCAGUGUACCCGCGGCUAGACGGAAAGACCCCGUGAACCUUUACUACAGCUUGGCACUGAACAUUGAACCUACAUGUGUAGGAUAGGUGGGAGGCUAUGAAGACGUGACGCUAGUUGCGUUGGAGCCGUCCUUGAAAUACCACCCUUGUAUGUUUGAUGUUCUAACUUAGACCCAUUAUCUGGGUUGAGGACAGUGCCUGGUGGGUAGUUUGACUGGGGCGGUCUCCUCCCAAAGAGUAACGGAGGAGCACGAAGGUGGGCUAAUCACGGUUGGACAUCGUGAGGUUAGUGCAAUGGCAUAAGCCCGCUUAACUGCGAGAAUGACGGUUCGAGCAGGUGCGAAAGCAGGUCAUAGUGAUCCGGUGGUUCUGUAUGGAAGGGCCAUCGCUCAACGGAUAAAAGGUACUCCGGGGAUAACAGGCUGAUACCGCCCAAGAGUUCAUAUCGACGGCGGUGUUUGGCACCUCGAUGUCGGCUCAUCACAUCCUGGGGCUGAAGUCGGUCCCAAGGGUAUGGCUGUUCGCCAUUUAAAGUGGUACGCGAGCUGGGUUUAGAACGUCGUGAGACAGUUCGGUCCCUAUCUGCCGUGGGCGUUGGAAGAUUGAAGGGGGCUGCUCCUAGUACGAGAGGACCGGAGUGGACGAACCUCUGGUGUUCGGGUUGUGUCGCCAGACGCAUUGCCCGGUAGCUAAGUUCGGAAUCGAUAACCGCUGAAAGCAUCUAAGCGGGAAGCGAGCCCUGAGAUGAGUCUUCCCUGACAGUUUAACUGUCCUAAAGGGUUGUUCGAGACUAGAACGUUGAUAGGCAGGGUGUGUAAGCGUUGUGAGGCGUUGAGCUAACCUGUACUAAUUGCCCGUGAGGCUUAACCAUACAACACCCAAGGGGUUUUGUA